CCCUUAGAUGUUCUGGGCCGCACGCGCGCUACACUGACACGUUCAUCAAGUCUAUAACCUUGACCGAGAGGUCUGGGUAAUCUUUUAAAAACGUGUCGUGCUGGGGAUAGAUUAUUGCAAUUAUUAAUAUUCAACGAGGAAUUCCUAGUAAACGCAAGUCAUCAACUUGCAUUGAUUACGUCCCUGCCCUUUGUACACACCGCCCGUCGCUACUACCGAUUGAAUGAUUUAGUGAGUACCAGGGACCGAGCGCUUUGGUUGGGUUUCCUUCCCUAGCGCUUGGGAACUGUCGCAAACUUGACCAUUUAGAGGAAGUAAAAGUCGUAACA
rnacentral:rRNA from 1 species